rnacentral:tRNA from 1 species
GCCUUCGUGGUGCAAUGGCCAGCAGUCUGGGUUCGUAUUCCAGAAGUCCGUGGUUAGAGUCCCGGCGAAGGCA